rnacentral:tRNA from 2 species
ACCGCGGACGGCACGAGCGGGUCGUCCGACGCCGCUGCCGGCGGUGUCCGGUGACCGUUCCCACACGGUCCCGCGCCC